CCUACGGGGGGCUACAGUGGGGAAUCUUCGGCAAUGGGCUCAAGCCUGACCCAGCAACGCCGCGUGAAGGAAGCAGGCUUUCGUGUUGUAAACUUCUUUUAAGAGGGAAGAGCAGAAGACGGUACCUCUUCAAUAAUCUACGGCUAACUACGUGCCAGCACCCGCGGUAAUACGUAGGUGGCAAGCGUUGUCCGGAUUUACUGGGUGUAACGGGCGUGCAGCAGGGAAGACAAGUCAGAUGUGAAAUCCCGCGGCUCAACCGCGGAACUGCAUUUGAAACUGUUUUGCUUGAGUACCGGAGAGGUCAUCGGAAUUACAUGUGUAGCGGUGAAAUGCGUAGAUAUAAGGAAGAACACCAGUGGCGAAGGCGGAUGACUGGACGGCAACUGACGGUGAGGCGCGAAAGCGUGGGGAGCAAACAGGAUUAGAUACCCUUGUAGUC
rnacentral:rRNA from 1 species